CAAGUUCAAAUGAUUCUCCUAGCUUAGCCUCCUGAGUAGCUGGGAUUACAAGUACCUGCCACAAUGCCUGGCUAAUUUUUGUAUUUUUAGUAGAGAUGGGGUUUCACCAUGUUGGCCAGACUGGUCUCGAACUCCUGACCUUGUGAUCUACCUGCCUCAGUCAGUGUUGGGAUUACAGCUGUGAGCCACUGUGCCCAGCCUGUCUUUUCUUUCCAAAGCCACCCUUGGUGAUUACAUGUUAAAUAUGUACUAAUGGAUAUUACUUUGCUGAAUAUUGCCUAGUGAAUAUUAAGUAUUUAUUCUCACCUUGCAGACGUGAACUUGUGAGUUCGACACAUGAAGAUUUACAACUUGAUAAACCAGCUUCAGGAGUAAAGGAAGAAUAGUAUGCCAGAAUCACUAAAUUAAAAAAGGUGGUGGAUCAGCUUUUCUGCAAAAAAUUUUGUAACUCCAGUUGGACUCCAUUGUUUCCAAGUCGACUUUCGUCCUCAUCCACAGCUCCUCCACACAAGCCCUGAACACCUGUUCAUUUGAAGCUCUUGGACUCACUGAGGCAGUAAAAGUACCAUCUCCUGUGUUUGAAUCAAACCCCGAGUGCCUGUAUGUAGAAGGCUUGCAGACAGGACUUCCUUUCAAAACCCUCCUGGUUUGGAAUUCCAUGACUUGAAAGGAUCGUCCAUGGGGGUAAUAAAAUCAAGUUUGUUGUUAAAAAAGUAAGUUC
rnacentral:lncRNA from 1 species